UGGCGGACGGGUGGGUAACGCGUGGGUAACCUGCCUCAUACAGGGGGAUAACAGUUAGAAAUGACUGCUAAUACCGCAUAAGACCACAGUACCGCAUGGUACAGAGGUAAAAACUCCGGUGGUAUGAGAUGGACCCGCGUCUGAUUAGGUAGUUGGUGGGGUAACGGCCUACCAAGCCGACGAUCAGUAGCCGACCUGAGAGGGUGACCGGCCACAUUGGGACUGAGACACGGCCCAA
rnacentral:rRNA from 1 species